rnacentral:rRNA from 1 species
GACAGAGGCCUCAAGCGUUAGGCGGAAUCACUGGGCUUCAAGCGUGUGUAGGCGGAUCGUUAAGUGUCUUGUGAAAUCCCACGGCUCACCCGUGGAACGGCUGGGCAUACUGGCGAUCUUGGGCCAACUAGGGGCAACUGGAACAAGCGGUGGAGCGGUGAAAUGCGUAGAUAUCGCUUGGAACGCCGAAGGUGAAAACAGGUUGCUGGGGUUGUGCCGACGCUGAGACACGAAAGCCAGGGGAGCAAACGGG